rnacentral:rRNA from 1 species
CGGGGUGAGUAAUGUAUGGGGAUCUGCCUGAUGGCGGGGGGUAACUACUGGAAACGGUAGCUAAUACCGCAUAAUGUCUACGGACCAAAGCGGGGGACCUCCGGGCCUCGCGCCAUCAGAUGAACCCAUAUGGGAUUAGCUAGUAGGUAAGGUAACGGCUUACCUAGGCGACGAUCCCUAGCUGGUCUGAGAGGAUGAUCAGCCACACUGGGACUGAGACACGGUCCAG